rnacentral:rRNA from 1 species
CCUACGGGCGGCAGCAGUCGGGAAUAUUGCGCAAUGGAGGAAACUCUGACGCAGUGACGCCGCGUAUAGGAGGAAGGUUUUCGGAUUGUACACUCUUGUCGUUAGGGAAGAUAAAAGACUGUACCUAAGGAGGAAGCCCCGGCGAACUAUGAGCCAGCACCCGCGGUAAUAUAUAGGGGGUGAGCGUUAUCCGGAAUUAUUGGGUGUAAAGGGUGCGUAGACAGAAGAACAAGUUGGUUGUGAAAUCCCUCGGCGCAACUGCGGAACUGCAACCAAAACUAUUCUCCUUGAGUGUCGGAGAGGAAAGUGGAAUGCCUAGUGUAGCGGUGAAAUGCGUAGAUAUUAGGAGGAACACCAGUGGCGAAGGCGACUUUCUGGACGAUAACUGACGUUGAGGCACGAAAGUGUGGGGAGCAAACAGGAUUAGAUACCCUAGUAGUC